rnacentral:lncRNA from 1 species
GUAUAAAGCUAGCGGUUGAACAAAAUGAACAUCGCCGUCAUGAAUAAUAAUGAUAAAAAUAAGUUUUUAGCUCGUUUAAUUGGAGACUUUGGUGAACAUGGUGAAAAGGUUUGCAAAGUAAUUUCUUAUUUUCUUUCAAACAUCGGGCGUAGCUAGAAACCAACUAUCCUAGUCGAAAUUCCGCUUGCAAAAGUGGAAGGUCUCGGACCACCGCUAAUUUGCACACCUGCCUCUAAAUUGAAAAGCUACGAAAAUUUCUUUUUCUAAUUUGAAAUUGCCGCCAACAGCAUGAACAGUUGAACUUAUUAUAUAAUAGACUACUGACGUAGUUGUACUACGUAUUGAUGACAAACAAUAUUCCUACGACUUUUGUCAUUUGGGAAAUCUAAACUGCUUGUCUUAAGAGAUUUUCGGCGAUUAAAUAUUUCAUACAAUUGUUCUUUGACAUCUUAGCUAAAAGCACAAGUCAUAAUGAAC